rnacentral:lncRNA from 1 species
AUGAACUGCAUCAAGAUCCAGAAAGAGAAUAAUAAAAGGAGAGUUGAGUUCCAAUUGCCUAGGAAGGCUAUGACAACACUUCACCUGCUGGACUUGAUUUUGGGGAAAAGACAGGCAUUAAUCACCAGAGAAUGUCUUCUGAAGAAAAAAGAGAAACUACCUCAGAGCUGCUUUAACAACAGAAAAUUCAUCUCAACCCCUGGCUAUGAGCCCAUGCUCACUGCAUUGGGUUCAGCACAGAGACCAGCACUCUCAUGGCAUUCUGAAUAAUUAUCCAACAGAGCUUGGCACUCUCUCCAGCAGCCUGACCUACAACUUGUAUUCUGAAGAAAAAAAAACACACAAAAUCAAAACUGAGCCACUUUUGUUUGCUUUAUUAGAAUAUCAGAGGGAGAAAGAUGUUUUAAAAAAUCAACCAUUACUUUCCUCCUGGCACCAAGACUGCCUUCCC